GGGACAGUAGGUUGGUCGUGCCACCGGUACGUACUGGUCUCACUGAUUCCUCCUUCCUGAAGAACCGUAAUGCCAUUAAUUUGGUGUUGCCGGGAAACAGGACUGUUACUUUGAAAAAAUUAGAGUGUUUAAAGCAAGCUAACGCUUGAAUACAUUAGCAGGGAAUAAUGAAAUAGGACGAUCGAUCCUAUUUUGUUGGUUUCUAGGAUUGACGUA
rnacentral:rRNA from 1 species